GUUUUUGUAGUGUAGUGGUUAGCACGUUUGCUUAAUAUGCAAAAGAUCCCUGGUUUGAAACCAGGCAGAAACA